UACGAAGGGGGCUAGCGUUGUUCGGAAUUACUGGGCGUAAAGCGCGCGCAGGCGGUUCUUCAAGUCAGUGGUGAAAGCCCAGAGCUCAACUCUGGAAUGGCCUUUGAGACUAGAGAACUAGGGUACGGGAGAGGUGAGUGGAAUUCCGAGUGUAGAGGUGAAAUUCGUAGAUAUUCGGAAGAACACCAGUGGCGAAGGCGGCUCACUGGCCCGUUACCGACGCUCAGGCGCGACAGCGUGGGGAGCAAACAGG
rnacentral:rRNA from 1 species